rnacentral:misc_RNA from 1 species
GAUGAAGAACGCAGCGAAUUGCGAUAAGUAAUGUGAAUUGCAGAUUUUCAGUGAAUCAUCGAAUCUUUGAACGCACCUUGCGCUCCUUGGUAUUCCGAGGAGCAUGCCUGUUUGAGUGUCAUGAAAUUCUCAACCUUUUCAGCUUUCUUUGUUGAUCAGGCUUGGAUGUGGGAGUAUGCGGGCUUCUCAGAAGUCGGCUCUCCUGAAAUGCAUUAGCGGGACCUUUGUUGCCUGGCUUUGGUGUGAUAAUUAUCUACGCCAUUGUAGUCAAGCAGCUUAAAAUGAGGUUUCAGCUUCUAACCGUCUCCCCUGAGACAACUUUUUGACAAUUUGACCUCAAAUCAUGUAGGACUACCCGCUGAACUUAAGCAUAUCAAUAAGCGGAGGA